rnacentral:rRNA from 1 species
AGGAAAGCAGGGGAUCGCAAGACCUUGCGCUUUUGGAGCGGCCGAUGUCUGAUUAGCUAGUUGGUGAGGUAAAGGCUUACCAAGGCGUCGAUCAGUAGCUGGUCUGAGAGGACGACCAGCCACACUGGGACUGAGACACGGCCCAGACUCCUACGGGAGGCAGCAGUGGGGAAUUUUGGACAAUGGGGGAAACCCUGAUCCAGCCAUGCCGCGUGAGUGAAGAAGGCCUUCGGGUUGUAAAGCUCUUUCAGCCGGAACGAAACGGUCACAGCUAAUACCUGUGACUACUGACGGUACCGGAAGAAGAAGCACCGGCUAACUACGUGCCAGCAGCCGCGGUAAUACGUAGGGUGCGAGCGUUAAUCGGAAUUACUGGGCGCAAAGCGUGCGCAGGCGGUUUUGUAAGUCAGAUGUGAAAUCCCCGGGCUUAACCUGGGAACUGCGUUUGAAACUACAAAGCU